rnacentral:rRNA from 1 species
UACGGGGGGAGCAAGCGUUGUUCGGAUUUACUGGGCGUAAAGGGCGCGUAGGCGGCGUAACAAGUCACUUGUGAAAUCUCCGGGCUUAACCCGGAGCGGCCAAGUGAUACUGUUGUGCUAGAGUGCGGAAGGGGCUACUGGAAUUCUCGGUGUAGCGAUGAAAUGCGUAGAGUAUCGGAGAGACACCGCGGCGAAGGCGGGUACCUGGGCCGACACUGAC